rnacentral:rRNA from 1 species
CCUACGGGGGGCAGCAGUGAGGAAUAUUGGUCAAUGGCCGAGAGGCUGAACCAGCCAAGUCGCGUGAGGGAAGACGGCCCUACGGGUUGUAAACCUCUUUUGUCGGGGAGCAAAGCGAACCACGUGUGGUUCAUUGAGAGUACCCGAAGAAAAAGCAUCGGCUAACUCCGUGCCAGCAGCCGCGGUAAUACGGAAGGCCCGAGCGUUAUCCGGAUUCAUUGGGCGUAAAGGGAGCGUAGGCGGGCGUUCAAGUCAGCUGUAAAAUCGCGCGGCUCAACCGCGCCCCGCAGUUGAAACUGGACGCCUUGAGUGCACAACAGGCAGGCGGAAUUCGUGGUGUAGCGGUGAAAUGCAUAGAUAUCACGAGGAACCCCGAUUGCGAAGGCAGCCUGCCGGGGUGCGACUGACGCUGAGGCUCGAAGGUGCGGGUAUCAAACAGGAUUAGAUACCCCAGUAGUC